CAAUAGCGUAUAUUAAAGUUGUUGCAGUUAAAAAGCUCGUAGUUGGAUUUCUGGAUGGAGCGACCGGUCGGGCAUUAAUUUGUCUGCACUGGAGUCGGUUCCGUCCAUCCUCUUGGAAAGUGCGUCGGGCAUUAAGUUGUUUGGCGUAUGAUCCAAGUCGUUUACUGUGAAAAAAUUAGAGUGUUUAAAGCAGGCCUUCGCCUUGAAUACAUUAGCAUGGAAUAAUAAGAUAGGACUUUGGUCUAUUUUGUUGGUUUGCAGACCGAAGUAAUGAUUAAUAGGGAUAGUUGGGGGUAUUUAUAUUCCGAUGUCAGAGGUGAAAUUCUUAGAUUUUCGGAAGAUAAACUUAUGCGAAAGCAUUUACCAAGGAUGUUUUCAUUGA
rnacentral:rRNA from 1 species